rnacentral:rRNA from 1 species
UACGGGGGGGGCAAGCGUUGUUCGGAUUUACUGGGCGUAAAGGGCGCGUAGGCGGCCUCUGCAAGUCGACUGUGAAAUCUCCGGGCUUAACCCGGAACGGUCAGCCGAUACUGCAGGGCUAGAGUGCAGAAGGGGCAACUGGAAUUCUCGGUGUAGCGGUGAAAUGCGUAGAUAUCGAGAGGAACACCUGCGGCGAAGGCGGGUUGCUGGGCUGACACUGACGCUGAAGUGCGAAAGCUAGGGGAGCGAACGGG